rnacentral:rRNA from 1 species
AGCGGCGGACGGGUUAGUAACGCGUGGGAACGUACCCAGAUCUACGGAAUAGCCUCGGGAAACUGAGAGUAAUACCGUAUACGCCCUCCGGGGGAAAGAUUUAUCGGAUUUGGAUCGGCCCGCGUAAGAUUAGAUAGUUGGUGGGGUAAUGGCCUACCAAGUCUACGAUCUUUAGCUGGUUUGAGAGGAUGAUCAGCAACACUGGGACUGAGACACGGCCCAGACUCCUACGGGAGGCAGCAGUGGGGAAUCUUAGACAAUGGGCGCAAGCCUGAUCUAGCGAUGCCGCGUGAGUGAUGAAGGCCUUAGGGUCGUAAAGCUCUUUCGCCUGUGAAGAUAAUGACGGUAGCAGGUAAAGAAACCCCGGCUAACUCCGUGCCAGCAGCCGCGGUAAUACGGAGGGGGUUAGCGUUGUUCGGAAUUACUGGGCGUAAAGCGCACGUAGGCGGACUAGUCAGUCAGAGGUGAAAUCCCAGGGCUCAACCCUGGAACUGCCUUUGAUACUGCUAGUCUUGAGUUCGAGAGAGGUAAGUGGAAUUCCGAGUGUAGAGGUGAAAUUCGUAGAUAUUCGGAGGAACACCAGUGGCGAAGGCGGCUUACUGGCUCGAUACUGACGCUGAGGUGCGAAAGUGUGGGGAGCAAACAGGAUUAGAUACCCUGGUAGUCCACACCGUAAACGAUGAAUGCCAGACGUCGGGUA